rnacentral:rRNA from 1 species
AGAGUUUGAUCCUGGCUCAGGAUGAACGCUAGCGGCAGGCUUAACACAUGCAAGUCGAGGGGCAGCGGGGUGUAGCAAUACAUCGCCGGCGACCGGCGCACGGGUGCGUAACACGUAUGGAAUCUGCCCUGUACUGGGGGAUAGCCCUCCGAAAGGAGGAUUAAUACCCCAUAACAACUUGAGUGGCAUCACUUGGGUUUGAAAGCUCCGGCGGUACAGGAUGACCAUGCGCCCGAUUAGCUAGUAGGUGAGGUAAAGGCUCACCUAGGCUACGAUCGGUAGGGGGCCUGAGAGGGUUAUCCCCCACACUGGUACUGAGACACGGACCAGACUCCUACGGGAGGCAGCAGUGAGGAAUAUUGCGCAAUGGAGGCAACUCUGACGCAGCCAUGCCGCGUGCAGGAAGAAGGCGCUACGCGUUGUAAACUGCUUUUAACCGGGAAGAAACCCCAGGACGUGUCCUGGGUUGACGGUACCGGAGGAAUAAGCACCGGCUAACUUCGUGCCAGCAGCCGCGGUAAUACGAAGGGUGCAAGCGUUAUCCGGAUUCAUUGGGUUUAAAGGGUGCGUAGGCGGGGUGGUAAGUCAGUGGUGAAAUCCUGCGGCUCAACCGUAGAAUUGCCAUUGAUACUGCCAUUCUUGAGUAGGCUCGACGUGGGCGGAAUGUGCCGUGUAGCGGUGAAAUGCUUAGAUAUGGCACAGAACACCGAUAGUGAAGACAGCUCACGAGGGCCAAACUGACGCUGAGGCACGAAAGCGUGGGGAUCGAACAGGAUUAGAUACCCUGGUAGUCCACGCUGUAAACGAUGAUCACUCGAGAUCGGCGAUAUACGGUCGGUCUCCUAGCGAAAGCGUUAAGUGAUCCACCUGGGGAGUACGACCGCAAGGUUGAAACUCAAAGGAAUUGACGGGGGCCCGCACAAGCGGUGGAGCAU